UACGGAGGGGGCGAGCGUUGUCCGAAUUUAUUGGGCGUAAAGCGCGUGUAGGCGGACUUUCAAGCCUGAGGUGAAAGGUUGGGGCUCAACCCCAUACAGUGCCUUGGGGACUGAGAGUCUGGAGGCCGGCAGAGGGGGGUGGAAUUCCGGGUGUAGUGGUGAAAUGCGUAGAGAUCCGGAGGAACCCCAGAGGCGAAGGCGGCCCCCUGGCUCGUACCUGACGCUCAGCCACGAAAGCAUGGGGAGCGAACGGG
rnacentral:rRNA from 1 species